UACCAGCUCUCCGAGUGGUGUGGAUGUUUAUUGGGCCUAAAGCAUCCGUAGCUGGCUGGGCAAGUACCCUGUUAAAUCCACCGAUUUAAUCGUUGGUGUGCGGGGGAUACUGUUCGGCUAGGGGACGGGAGAGGCCGACGGUAUUUUCGGGGUAGGGGUGAAAUCCUAUAAUCCCGGGAAGACCACCAGUGGCGAAGGCUAUCGGCUAGAACGCGCCCGACGGUGAGGGAUGAAAGCUGGGGGAGCGAACCGGAUUAGAUACCCGGGUAGUCCCAGCUGUAAACGAUGCAGGCUAGGUGUUUGGGCGGCCACGUGCCGCUCUAGUGCCGCAGAGAAGUCGUUAAGCCUGCCGCCUGGGGAGUACGGCCGCAAGGCUGAAACUUAAAGGAAUUGGCGGGGAGCACCACAAGGGGUGAAGCUUGCGGUUU
rnacentral:rRNA from 1 species